rnacentral:misc_RNA from 1 species
UGGAAGAUGGGGUUGCUUCUGGGU